CUCUCCCCAUUAAUCUUCAGAAGAUAAGAUACUGUCUUAUUAAAACAUGUUCAUCAAAGAAAAUGUAGAAUACAUAAAAAGUAUGAAGCAGCGAACAAAAAUCACUUGAAAUCCUAUUAUGUAGUGGUGAGUAUGUAACAGCUAACAAUUAUCAUAUAUUUACAAAUCAAGUAUUGUUCCAAGUGCUUUGUUUGGAUUGACUCAUUUAUUCUUAGUAACUGCAAAAGGCAACUUCCUAGUGCAAGAAACUGAGGCUUAACUUGGCCAACAUUCUCAACCACUAAUGUGAAUAUAUGUUUUUCAAAAUGGAAUUAUAGAAUUAUAUUUUAUAUACUAGUCUGUAAUAUACUUUGUCCACUUCAAACAUUUAAAUAUAUUUCUUUCAUGAUUGCUAUUAAAAAUUCCAUAGUUGUAUAAUGCUU